UAUGGCCAUAGCACCCUGAACGCACUGCACCCGAUCUCAUCUGAUCUCAGCAGCUAAGCAGGUUUGGGUCUGGUUAGUACUGGGAUGGGAGAAAUACUGAAUGAAGCCAAAG
rnacentral:rRNA from 1 species